AUUGAACGCUGGCGGCAGGCUUAACACAUGCAAGUCGAGCGGGGUGAUGUAGCUUGCUACAUUACCUAGCGGCGGACGGGCGAGUAAUGCUUAGGAAUCUGACUAUUAGUGGGGGACAACAUUCCGAAAGGAAUGCUAAUUCCUCACACGCCCUACGGGGGAAACCAGGGGAUCGUCGGACCUUGCGCUAAUAGAUGAGCCUACGACAGAUUAGUUAGUUGGUGGGGUAAAAGCCUACCAAGGCGACGAUCUGUAGCGGGCCUGAGAGGAUGGUCCGCCACACUGGGACUGAGACACGGGCCAGACUCCUACGGGAGGGCGCAGGGGGGAAUAUUGGACAAUGGGCGAAAGGCUGAACCCGCCAUGCCGCGUGUGUGAAGAAGGGCUUUUGGUUGUAAAGCACUUUAAGCGAGGAGGAGGCUACCGAGAUUAAUACUCUUGGAUAGUGGACGUUACUCGCAGAAUAAGCACCGGCUAACUCUGUGCCAGCAGCCGCCGUAAAAC
rnacentral:rRNA from 1 species